GACGAACGCUGGCGGCGUGCCUAAUACAUGCGAGUAGAACGCUGAAGGAGGAGCUUGCUUCUCUGGAUGAGUUGCGAACGGGUGAGUAACGCGUAGGUAACCUGCCUGGUAGCGGGGGAUAACUAUUGGAAACGAUAGCUAAUACCGCAUAAAAGUAGAUGUUGAAUGACAUUUGCUUAAAAGGUGCAAUUGCAUACCUACCAGAUGGACCUGCGUUGUAUUAGCUAGUGGGUGGGGUAACGGCUCACCAAGGCGACGAUACAUAGCCGACCUGAGAGGGUGAUCGGCCACACUGGGACUGAGACACGGCCCAGACUCCUACGGGAGGCAGCAGUAGGGAAUCUUCGGCAAUGGACGGAAGUCUGACCGAGCAACGCCGCGUGAGUGAAGAAGGUUUUCGGAUCGUAAAGCUCUGUUGUAAGAGAAGAACGAGUGUGAGAGUGGAAAGUUCACACUGUGACGGUAUCUUACCAGAAAGGGACGGCUAACUACGUG
rnacentral:rRNA from 1 species